UACAGAGGUCCCAAGCGUCGUUCGGAUUCACUGGGCGUAAAGGGUGCGUAGGUGGUGAGGUAAGUUUGAUGUGAAAUCUCUGGGCUUAACCCAGAAAGGUCAACCGAUACUGCGGGGCUAGAGUGCAGAAGGGGCAACUGGAAUUCUCGGUGUAGCGGUGAAAUGCGUAGAUAUCGAGAGGAACACCUGCGGCGAAGGCGGGUUGCUGGGCUGACACUGACGCUGAUGCGCGAAAGCGUGGGGAGCAAACAGG
rnacentral:rRNA from 1 species